UUAAAAAGAUGUUUUGAUAUAGGUUUUCUGUGGUUAAACGCGGCCCCCAUUUUCUUCAAUUCAUCAAGACUUUUCUCCAUCUUCUGAUUCUCUGUUCACCGUGGAGGCAUGUAAGAAAAACAAAGUUUUCUUCAAGAAUUCAAGGUACCACAGGGUGAUUAAUUGGUAUA